AAAGGCUAGAGGGUGGUUUGGGGGUGGAGGCAGAGGUCCAGUGAGCUGGGCUCCACCCUUUCUCUCCCUGCAGUCCCAACUCCAUUUUUAUCUGUGCUAUAUGUUGGAGUCUAGCCAAGAUGUCAUUUGAACAAAGAUUCUGAAAGAUCAAAGAAAAAAGUUUGAAAACCACCAGGACAAUGCUUUCAGGGGACUUUAUCCAAAAGACUGCAACAAUGUAAAGAGAUACGAUUGCUUUUAUUACUGUGAUAUGUUUAAAGUAUUAUAAAUUUUUUAAGAGCUUUGUAAGUGACAGAAGUGAAGACAUGCUCAUUUUAAUGUUACCAGUCAACUCUGAGAAGACUAAAGGUCAAGGGACAAUGAAAAUGUGACCCUUACCAACGACAGAAACUCCCAGGAAGCCACAAUUAACUCAAGACCACCAGGAUAUUUGGGGAAGUUUAUCCUUCUGGAAACCAGAAUUUCUGAUUUGUGGAAAAUUCUAUAGAUAUUCUCUGCCAGACUCCAGCCUAUUUGUGUGAGACAUCUGGGGAGGCUCCCCUUUUUUUCACCAUUUGAGGACUGAAAGUAAAUUUAGCUUCCUCAGCAGAAAGAAAAGAAGCUGUUUUGGAGGUUGGGAAGAGCUUUAGAAAAUGCGGCAUCACGUCUGUUGCCCCAUUUGAAGAAAGCAGCUCUGGAAAAGGCCUAGGACAUUAGUUGCUACAAAGUUCUAGAUCAUUCUGUGUGGUAAAGAAGUGCCUUUCACCUCCCACUGUGAUU
rnacentral:lncRNA from 1 species